GCCUCUUCUUCUUGAAGACACCAAUGAUAAGCUUAUAAAAGAUCUUUUUUAUUAUGUCAAAUACCUCCCUUAAGAUGAAUUCAAUUUUGCAUUAAGAAUCAUUUCUUCUAAAAUUUCUUUCAUAUCAAUAGAACUUUGUAUAUCCAAUUAAAGCUUAUAGGAAGGACCUUUGGCUUUAGGCUUGUUUGAACCUUCAUUCUCCUUAUCUUUUAUUCCACUUCUUUGAAUUUCAAUUCUACUCUUUGAUUGAGAUGAAGAUAGUGCUUGAGCUUGUUGGUAGGAAGUCCUUCUUUUUUUUGAAUAGAUUGUCUAAUCUUUGAUAGCUUCUUCUUCUUGA
rnacentral:lncRNA from 1 species